rnacentral:rRNA from 1 species
GAGACCCACGCCAACAGUUGCCAGCACGUUCUCCGGAAUGGUGGGGACACUGUUGGGACCGCCUCUGCUAAAGAGGAGGAAGGAAUGGGCAACGGUAGGUCAGCAUGCCCCGAAUUGCCCGGGCUACACGCGGGCUACAAUGGACAGGACAAUGGGAAUCGACACCGAGAGGUGAAGGCAAUCCCCUAAACCUGCCCUUAGUUCGGAUUGUGGGCUGCAACUCGCCCACAUGAAGCUGGAAUCCGUAGUAAUCGCGGAUCAACAUUCCGCGGUGAAUAU